rnacentral:lncRNA from 1 species
UCACAACAAGCGAUAUACACAUCAACAUAAUUGUAGCAUACUGUAACAUUCAGACAGAGUAAAUAAUGUAAUAUUUUCGGCAAAGAGGUAAUAUCCCCUUCGCCAUCGUCUCAGAGAAUAAAACUCUAAGCUGGGAAUGACAUAUUAUGUACCUUGUGUGAAACAUGAAUAACAUAUGAUAUAUACAUUAAGCAACAUCUUUCAUGGUAAUGUAAAUCAUUUAUAGGAUCUAACUACGGUAUGCUAGUAAUAAAAAAUGGUUAAUGUAAAACAGUUUUGAUAUCUGUUUUUCUUCCUCUCCUUGACUUAGCAGUUCAAAAUAACUAAAAGUUAUAGCUUCAAGUAACAGCUUUCUCUGAUGACGUAUUAAAACACUUAAUCCAGUGGACGUUGGGCGUGUACUGAUUGAUAUUUUAGUCUAAGAUAAUUAUUUUUUUAAUUAAUUGUUUUUGUCUUUCGGCUACCUGAAAGUAACUGCGAGUACUCUCAGCUCUCUAAUGAGUGUAUGUUUUGAGGUAUGGAUAGAUACCCUGCCACAGAAUUUUCCUUGUUUGACUAAUAUCUGAA